GUUAAAAGCCUGGCAGCUGAGUUCUGGACAGUCUGGAGUCGAUCAGUAGAUUUUUGGGUUAAACAAGUGAAAAGGCUGUUGCAAUAAUCCAGGCGUGAUGAGAUGAAAAUGUCAGCAGCGUGACGAGGCUUUGAGCGUCUUUUCCGCGCUGAACGUUUUUUUCCGGUUGCCGAGAGUUGAAAAAUGUUCUACUUUGAAAAAACGCUUUGGUGGACACGGGCCCUUAGCCAACAGACUGAGUGGAGUGUUUGGGCCUGGUAAUCCACCCUGACCAGACCUACUGUGUGCCGGGUAGGCUUCUUCAGAAUAAUAUUUCUUUCAUCAGAGAUAUUUUAGAUAUGAGUCAUUUGUUCAACAUGGAAUUUGGUCUGGUGUCUAUUGAUCAAGAAAAAGCUUUUGACAGAGUUGAACACAAUUAUUUGUGGGGUACUCUUGCAGCUUUUGGCUUUUGGCCCAAUUUUAUUAACAAAAUUAGAGUUCUUUAUUGUGACAUAGAAAGUAUACUUAAGGGUAAUGGUGACUUGUUCCUUUCAAAGUCCAUAGAGGGGUCAGACAGGGAUGUGCGUUGUCUGCCAUGUUGUACACUUUGGCAAUUGAGUCCCUUUUGGUAAAACUGAGACAGAAAUUAAUUGGGGUGAAAAUUCCCGAGUGUGAAAAUGUAUUUCAUUUGUCAGCCUAUGCUGAUGAUGUUGCUGUGCUGGUUAGUGAGCAGAGGGAUAUAAAUAUUAUGUAAAAAAUGAUGAUUUUAAAAUAAUUUCCUUUAAAGUCGAAAGUACACUGGUUAAAAAGUGUCACGGUGGCAGCCCGGCUGUUGGCGGGUGUCCUGUUUCUCCUUUCCCUCACAGUCUGGUUUCUCCAGUGCCCUCUCUCUCUCUCUCUCUCUGUGUACUCUCUCCCUCCCUGCUCCGGAGCCUGGCUGGCUACCCACACCUGCACCUCGUUAACCUCCAUCCCCAGCCGCCGCACCUGCCAGCCAUCAGCCUCAUCACAACCAGUAUAUCUACCCCGGCUUUCCACUCCACCCUCGCUCGAUUGUCGCAGCUCCUGACCUGGUUCACUCACCUCUGCCUCCCAGCUCGGCCAGCCGGGCUCGCUCGCCUGCCUCCUCCUCUCGCCGCCUCCACGACGCCCUCCGGCUUCUCCUCCCGCACCCCGCCUGGACCCCAGUCUCCGCGCCUUCUCCUAUCCGUCUGCCAGCCUCCCUCAAGCCUCCAGCCUAAGUGCCCUCCAUUCCUCCAGCUUCUCGGUUCCCCGUGUCCUCGUCAGCCUCUUCUCCUCCUUCCACCCGCCCUCGCCUCGAACCCCCUUCUCCUCAAUAAACCUCUUUUUCUAACCCUCA